AGUCGUAACAAGGUUUCCGUAGGUGAACCUGCGGAAGGAUCAUUAUCGAAUAAACUUGAACAGGCUGUUUUUUGCUGGCCCUUGAAAGAGGGCAUGUGCACGCUUGUUCAUCUUUGUCAUUUCUCCAACUGUGCACAUACUGUAGACCUGGGGGGAGCAUUAUGAAUGGAAUUUCCAUUCGAGUUAGGGAUUGCUGUGCUUUACAAAAGAAAAAAGUCGGCUUUCCCUUGUAUUUUUUCAGGUCUAUGUUGUUUUUCAUAAUCUCUACAACAAUGUUUAGAAUGUUGAAUAAGGUCUUUGUACCUAUAUAAAAGUUAAUACAACUUUCAGCAACGGAUCUCUUGGCUCUCGCAUCGAUGAAGAACGCAGCGAAAUGCGAUAAGUAAUGUGAAUUGCAGAAUUCAGUGAAUCAUCGAAUCUUUGAACGCAUCUUGCGCUCCUUGGUAUUCCGAGGAGCAUGCCUGUUUGAGUGUCAUUUGACCUUCUCAACCACAUCGUUCUUGUUUUUGAAUGUGUGUGGCUUGGAUGUGGGGGUAAUAAUUUUAUUUUUUUUGCAGGCUUCAAAUCAAGAAGCCGGCUCCCCUGAAAUGCAUUAGUGGUGUCUGAGCUGCUAUUGGUGUGAUAAAUUAUCUAUGCCUUUGGUAAUGCUGGUCAGCAUCGCUUAUAACGGACGUGUGAUCAUUUGACAAAUUUGACCUCAAAUCAGGUAGGACUACCCGCUGAACUUAA
rnacentral:rRNA from 1 species